rnacentral:rRNA from 1 species
UACGUAGGGUGCGAGCGUUGUCCGGAUUUAUUGGGCGUAAAGAGCUCGUAGGCGGUUUGUCGCGUCGGCCGUGAAAUCUCCACGCUUAACGUGGAGCGUGCGGUCGAUACGGGCAGACUUGAGUUCGGUAGGGGAGACUGGAAUUCCUGGUGUAGCGGUGAAAUGCGCAGAUAUCAGGAGGAACACCGGUGGCGAAGGCGGGUCUCUGGGACGGUACUGACGCUAAGGCGCGAAAGCGUGGGGAGCGAACAGG